rnacentral:rRNA from 1 species
CCUACGGGAGGCAGCAGUGAGGAAUAUUGGUCAAUGGGCGGGAGCCUGAACCAGCCAAGUCGCGUGAAGGAAGAAGGUACUUAGUAUUGUAAACUUCUUUUGUCGGGGAACAAAUGCCGAGACGCGUCUCCGGAUGAGUGUACCCGAAGAAAAAGCAUCGGCUAACUCCGUGCCAGCAGCCGCGGUAAUACGGAGGAUGCGAGCGUAAUCCGGAUUUAUUGGGUUAAAGGGGUACGCAGGCGGGAGAUCAUGUCAGAGGUAAAAGGUAGGGGAUCAACCCCGGCCGGCCGUUGAAACUGGUUUUCUAGAGUUGGAGAGAGGUAUGUGGAAUUCGUGGUGUAGCGGUGAAAUGCAUAGAUAUCACGAAGAACACCGAUUGCGAAGGCAGCAUACCGGCUCCAUACUGACGCUGAGGCACGAAAGCGUGGGGAUCGAACAGGAUUAGAUACCCUUGUAGUC